AGAGUUUGAUCAUGGCUCAGAUUGAACGCUGGCGGCAGGCCUAACACAUGCAAGUCGAGCGGAUGAUGGGAGCUUGCUCCUGGAUUCAGCGGCGGACGGGUGAGUAAUGCCUAGGAAUCUGCCUGGUAGUGGGGGACAACGUUUCGAAAGGAACGCUAAUACCGCAUACGUCCUACGGGAGAAAGCAGGGGACCUUCGGGCCUUGCGCUAUCAGAUGAGCCUAGGUCGGAUUAGCUUGUUGGUGAGGUAAUGGCUCACCAAGGCGACGAUCCGUAACUGGUCUGAGAGGAUGAUCAGUCACACUGGAACUGAGACACGGUCCAGACUCCUACGGGAGGCAGC
rnacentral:rRNA from 1 species